rnacentral:rRNA from 1 species
UGGGGGAUAUUGCACAAUGGGCGAAAGCCUGAUGCAGCGACGCCGCGUGGGGGAUGAAGGCCUUCGGGUUGUAAACUUCUUUUGCUCUGAACAAGGCGCACCAUGGGGUGUGUUGAGUGUAGGGGUUGAUUAGCGCCGGCUAACUACGUGCCAGCAGCCGCGGUAAUACGUAGGGCGCGAGCGUUGUCCGGAAUUAUUGGGCGUAAAGGGCUUGUAGGUGGCUGGUUGCGUCUGUCGUGAAAGCUCAUGGCUUAACUGUGGGUUUGCGGUGGGUACGGGCUGGCUUGGGGGCGGUAGGGGAGGCGGGAAUUCCUGGUGUAGCGGUGGGAUGCGCAGAUAUCAGGAGGAAUACCGGUGGCGAAGGCGGGUCGCUGGGCUGUUACUGACACUGAGGAGCGAAAGCAUGGGGAGCGAACAGG